rnacentral:rRNA from 1 species
UACGUAGGGGGCAAGCGUUGUCCGGAAUCAUUGGGCGUAAAGCGCACGUAGGCGGAUCUUUAAGUCAGAGGUGAAAUCCCAAGGCUCAACCUUGGAACUGCCUUUGAUACUGGGGAUCUUGAGUCCGGGAGAGGUGAGUGGAACUGCGAGUGUAGAGGUGAAAUUCGUAGAUAUUCGCAAGAACACCAGUGGCGAAGGCGGCUCACUGGCCCGGUACUGACGCUGAGGUGCGAAAGCGUGGGGAGCAAACAGG